rnacentral:rRNA from 1 species
AGCACCACAACGGGUGGAGCUUGCGGUUUAAUUGGAUUCAACGCCGGAAAUCUUACCGGGACCGACAGCAAUAUGAAGGCCAGGCUGAAGACUUUGCCGGAUUAGCUGAGAGGUGGUGCAUGGCCGUCGUCAGUUCGUACUGUGAAGCAUCCUGUUAAGUCAGGCAACGAGCGAGACCCACGCCCACAGUUGCCAGCGUACUCUCCGGAGUGACGGGUACACUGUGGGACCGCCGCUGCUAAAGCGGAGGAAGGAAUGGGCAACGGUAGGUCAGUAUGCCCCGAAUAUCCCGGGCUACACGCGAGCUACAAUGGUUGGUACAAUGGGUAUCUACCCCGAAAGGGGACGGGAAUCUCCUAAAACCAAUCUUAGUUCGGAUUGAGGGCUGCAACUCGCCCUCAUGAAGCUGGAAUCCGUAGUAAUCGCGUUUCAACAGAACGCGGUGAAUACGUCCCUGCUCCUU